rnacentral:lncRNA from 1 species
UUGGGAAUAAGCAAACUUCCACUGUAAAGUCUUUGGGAACCCAUUCAUCAGGCUGUACAUGUGAAAACACACAGUUUACAGGAAGAUAAGCCUGCAUCCAGUCCUUGUGAUGCUAAUGGGUCAGUCUUCCUGGUUAAUGAAACAGUCCAAACAAAGAUCAUUACUCCUAAGAAACUUGAAACUCCACAGAAGACCUCCACCAAUAUCUUAUCAAAUAGCAAUAAAGAACUGAGUGUUGAUGAGACGUGUGAAAAUAAAUCCAACCAGUCCUUGAGCCGUGAAUCAAAGUUGCUCAAAAACUCUACUGAUGAACAUUUGCUUUCUGCUGAGACAAAAGCACAUGACGUAUCAAAUACCAAUUCUGCAGCUCUUCAACAAGGUUCAGAAGAAGAAUUAAAUCCUGUUUUGAUGGCUUUGAAAAGGAGUGCAGAUAGGAAAAUGCCUUCCAAAAGUCUAGAGGACUAUUCCAUCAGCCACCUCAAGUGAGCACAAAGCUUGUGUGUGUCUACCAUGACCCCCAGUUUGGCUUAAACAUGCUUAUGCUGUGUUUCCAUACAGCUUUGCCAAGCAGUGUUUUUGCCUUACAGCUUGCUUCUCACUAAGCAGUAUGGAGUUUGUAUUGUAAAACUGAAUUCUCAUCUCAUAUGGAUUAGUUUUCAGUUCUUAGUGCUCCUUUUGAAACAGCACUGGUAUAACAAGCAGACAUCUUCCAAAAAUGCACUGUGUCAGGGAUGAUCUGGUUUUGGGUUGUUAAAAUAUUUUCAAUAGUGAAAAUAUUUGGUUGGAACCACUCAAAUAGUGAUAAGCUACCAU